UGGGGAAUUUUGGACAAUGGGCGAAAGCCUGAUCCAGCAAUGCCGCGUGUGUGAAGAAGGCCUUCGGGUUGUAAAGCACUUUUGUCCGGAAAGAAAUCCUUGGCUCUAAUACAGUCGGGGGAUGACGGUACCGGAAGAAUAAGCACCGGCUAACUACGUGCCAGCAGCCGCGGUAAUACGUAGGGUGCAAGCGUUAAUCGGAAUUACUGGGCGUAAAGCGUGCGCAGGCGGUUUGCUAAGACCGAUGUGAAAUCCCCGGGCUCAACCUGGGAACUGCAUUGGUGACUGGCAGGCUAGAGUAUGGCAGAGGGGGGUAGAAUUCCACGUGUAGCAGUGAAAUGCGUAGAGAUGUGGAGGAAUACCGAUGGCGAAGGCAGCCCCCUGGGCCAAUACUGACGCUCAUGCACGAAAGCGUGGGGGAGCAAAACAGGAUUAGAUACCCUGGUAGUCCACGCCCUAAAACGAUGUCAACUAGUUGUUGGGGAUUCAUUUCCUUAGUAACGUAGCUAACGCGUGAAGUUGACCGCCUGGGGAGUACGGUCGCAAGAUUAAAACUCAAAGGAAUUGACGGGGUCAUAGCGUUUCCU
rnacentral:rRNA from 1 species